rnacentral:rRNA from 1 species
AUUGAACGCUGGCGGCAUGCCUUACACAUGCAAGUCGAACGGCAGCACGGGAGCAAUCCUGGUGGCGAGUGGCGAACGGGUGAGUAAUAUAUCGGAACGUGCCCAGUCGUGGGGAUAACGUAGCGAAAGCUACGCUAAUACCGCAUACGAUCUAUGGAUGAAAGCGGGGGAUCGCAAGACCUCGCGCGAUUGGAGCGGCCGAUAUCAGAUUAGGUAGUUGGUGAGGUAAAGGCUCACCAAGCCGACGAUCUGUAGCUGGUCUGAGAGGACGACCAGCCACACUGGGACUGAGACACGGCCCAGACUCCUACGGGAGGCAGCAGUGGGGAAUAUUGGACAAUGGGCGAAAGCCUGAUCCAGCAAUGCCGCGUGAGUGAUGAAGGCCUUAGGGUUGUAAAGCUCUUUUACCCGGGAUGAUAAUGACAGUACCGGGAGAAUAAGCUCCGGCUAACUCCGUGCCAGCAGCCGCGGUAAAG